rnacentral:rRNA from 1 species
GAUGAACGCUGGCGGCGUGCUUAACACAUGCAAGUCGAACGAAGCACUUUAUUUGAUUUCCUUCGGGACUGAUUAUUUUGUGACUGAGUGGCGGACGGGUGAGUAACGCGUGGGUAACCUGCCUUGUACAGGGGGAUAACAGUUGGAAACGGCUGCUAAUACCGCAUAAGCGCACGGCAUCGCAUGAUGCAGUGUGAAAAACUCCGGUGGUAUAAGAUGGACCCGCGUUGGAUUAGCUAGUUGGUGAGGUAACGGCCCACCAAGGCGACGAUCCAUAGCCGACCUGAGAGGGUGACCGGCCACAUUGGGACUGAGACACGGCCCAAACUCCUACGGGAGGCAGCAGUGGGAAAUAUUGCACAAUGGGCGAAAGCCUGAUGCAGCGACGCCGCGUGAGCGAAGAAGUAUUUCGGUAUGUAAAGCUCUAUCAGCAGGGAAGAUAAUGACGGUACCUGACUAAGAAGCACCGGCUAAAUACGUG